AUCCAGCUGACGAUUCCUAUAUAGAACGGAACGCGCGUCCUGGAU
rfam:Schistosoma haematobium scaffold1910_6, whole genome shotgun sequence.